rnacentral:rRNA from 1 species
AGCGGCGGACGGGUGAGUAACGCGUGGGAACCUGCCCUAUACAGGGGGAUAACAGUUAGAAAUGACUGCUAAUACCGCAUAAGCGCACGGAGCCGCAUGGCCCUGAGUGAAAAACGAUAGUGGUAUAGGAGGGACCCGCGUCUGAUUAGGUAGUUGGUGGGGUAACGGCCCACCAAGCCGACGAUCAGUAGCCGACCUGAGAGGGUGACCGGCCACAUUGGGACUGAGACACGGCCCAAACUCCUACGGAAGGCAGCAG